UGUUGGUUCUCCCGCAACGCUACUCUGUUUACCAGGUCAGGUCCGGAAGGAAGCAGCCAGAGCAGAGGACGUGUGUGCCGGGAUGUAGCUGGCAGGG
rnacentral:SRP_RNA from 1 species